ACAGACUUGAUAAAAUGUCCCUCUUAUCAUGGAUCAAAGUUAUUUUCAUCAUUGCCUUGGCAUUUCCUCUUUAUUCUGAUUGUUAAAUGCAAACUACAAAGAGGAAUGAUUUUUUUCUAGAAACCUCUUUUGCAUCUGUAUCAGAAUUCAAACUUCCGCCAGACUGUAAACUAUAUACAGGAGCUUGCACCAGCGAAUAUGUUCCACUCUGUGCAACCAACGCAAAAACUUAUGACAAUGACUGUCUGUUCUGUCAUGAAAAGAUGUAAUAAGCACACAGUAUAAGUAUUUGGUCCUCCAAGGUAUGAAGAAAUCAUCACAAAGUGAUAGGAAAAUCCUUGUUGCUGAUAACCAAGGCUCAACAUACAUAGAAAAUUACUAAGACCUCUGUAAAAAAUUAGAGGCCACUCUUGUUCCUUUUCCUGAAGUUCUUGUUUCUGAAAGUAAUUUUGUAUUUGAGCUCUCAUUAUAACUUUGUUUGAUAUUGUACAAAUGUGUACAUCAAUUAAUUUCACCUAAUUAUGUGUCACUAAUGGCAGGCUAGCAACCAACACAAUGUAAUUCUGUAGCCCAGAUGCAGAAUCACAGCUCUCUAUGGUGGCCGUGUAAUUGACCCAUGCAGACUUCUAGCUGAAGGAAACUAAAACCAAGGCCAUUCAUGCUAAAAAGGGACUCCUCUAAUGGUCAGCUUUGUCUCACAAAAUCCAUGACAGCCUCCAAAUCUACAUUGGACAGCAGGACAUUGUGGAGUACCUCCAUCUAAUCUCAUUUCCUGUCUCUUUCAUCCUGAAGGAAUGUGCAGUUUAAAGCUUCAGCCAGUCUUCCUACCUCCCUCCUUAUUCUCUCUCAUAUGUGUUUCAUCUCACAAAAUCUUUGCACAUUUAAUCCCUUAAAUUGGCAUCUGUUUCUGGAGAACUGCUGAGACCAUCUCCAAUCUCUCCACUCUCAGAUCUGGGUGGGUCCUAAGACUGAGACAGGACUGAGCAUGUAGGAAGAGUCAAGUGACCCCACAAGGGGACAGGACAUGUGUCAGACCCUAGGAACAAGCAGAGUCCAGCUGCUUCUGGAAGUGGAGCACAGCCUCUCCAUGCUAUUCCACGUUCACAUUCUCCUUUUUGAAAAGGUUUCCAGUGUCUCUGUGUUUAGACACUGAAAAAUCCCAACUAUAUUCUGCAUGCAUGUUAUCUACAUU